rfam:Triticum aestivum genome assembly, contig: Triticum_aestivum_CS42_TGACv1_scaffold_224974_3B
AAAACUAGCCAGUCCUUUGGGUAUGAAAUCCAUUUGGGCGACAGUAGUACUAGGAUGGGCGACCUCUUGGGAAGUCCUCGUGAAAGGGUUUC